rnacentral:rRNA from 1 species
UACAGGGGGUGCAAACGUUGCUCGGAAUUAUUGGGCGUAAAGCGCGCGUAGGCGGCUACUUAAGUCGGAUGUGAAAGCCCUUGGCUCAACUGAGGAAGUGCACCCGAAACUGAGUGGCUUGAGUACUAAAGAGGGUCGCGGAAUUCCCGGUGUAGAGGUGAAAUUCGUAGAGACUCGGAAGAACACCAGUGGCGAAGGCGGCUACCUGGACGGGUACUGACGCUGCAGCGCGAAAGCUAGGGGAGCAAACAGG